rnacentral:rRNA from 1 species
CACGUAGGGCGCAAGCGUUGUCCGGAAUUAUUGGGCGUAAAGAGCUCGUAGGCGGUCUGUUGCGUCCGCUGUGAAAACCCGGGGCUUAACCCUGGGCUGGCAGUGGAUACGGACAGACUAGAGGUAGGUAGGGGAGAAUGGAAUUCCCGGUGUAGCGGUGAAAUGCGCAGAUAUCGGGAGGAACAACGGUGGCGAAGGCGGUUCUCUGGGCCUGUACUGACGCUGAGGAGCGAAAGCGUGGGGAGCGAACAGG